rnacentral:rRNA from 1 species
CGUGUAGGCGGCUUUGCAAGUCGGGUGUGAAAGCCCUCGGCUCAACCGAGGAAGUGCGCCCGAAACUGCAGAGCUUGAGUGCCGGAGAGGGUGGCGGAAUUCCCCAAGUAGAGGUGAAAUUCGUAGAUAUGGGGAGGAACACCGGUGGCGAAGGCGGCCACCUGGACGGUAACUGACGCUGAGACGCGAAAGCGUGGGGAGCAAACA